CAGAUAAGACUCUGUCUACCCUGGGCAGCUUUCCUGAUCCAUGGCAGUCUGGCUUACAAGCAAUACUAGGCUUCUAUUGUCUCUUUCUGUAUAUUUGUAAAAACAUGGCCAGGCAAGAUGGCUUAUGUCUUUAAUCUCAGCUGUUUGGGAAGCCAAGUGGAAAGAUUGCUUGAGGCCAGGAGUUCAAGACCAACCUGGAUAAUACAGCCCAGUCCCAAAAAAGCACCUGAAGCUUGUUUUAGUUUUCAUUCUUCUUAUGAGAGAAAUUGGGCCUGAUGCUGAAGGAGAACUCUUCUGUCCACUGCAAGUCCACUUACAUGAGCAGCUAAAUAAAUGAAUGGGAUUCUGAAGGACUGUAUGUGGAGAGCAAGGUUAACCAUUUGUGCUUGCUGCAUGAGUGAAUAAGCAACGAUGAGUGUUAGGCUGUUUAUUCAGAUACCCUCACGCCACUGCAGAAGCGAGUAGAGGAAGAAUACAAGGAAAAAAGUGUCUCCCAGCCUGUGGAAAGAGGAUGGCUAUUUCAUCCACUAAAGGUGUACACUUUAAGUGAAUUGGUAUGUCUACAUCAUCCCAGGAGGAGUGAAUGUCUGUGUGUGUGUACCUGAGAUAAGAUGAUGUCUUGUCCAAUGCUGGUUUCCACCUUGUGCCCUGAGCUGUUGGGAGAGGCUCCUGCGACCUGUGACCCUGAAGCAGAAUAAGUGGACUGAAUAAAGGAAUGAUGCGUAU
rnacentral:lncRNA from 1 species